rnacentral:rRNA from 1 species
UUUAUUUGAGAGUUUGAUCCUGGCUCAGGAUGAACGCUGGCGGCGUGCUUAACACAUGCAAGUUGAGCGAUUUACUUCGGUAAAGAGCGGCGGACGGGUGAGUAACGCGUGGGUAACCUACCCUGUACACACGGAUAACAUACCGAAAGGUAUGCUAAUACGGGAUAAUAUAUUUGAGAGGCAUCUCUUGAAUAUCAAAGGUGAGCCAGUACAGGAUGGACCCGCGUCUGAUUAGCUAGUUGGUAAGGUAACGGCUUACCAAGGCGACGAUCAGUAGCCGACCUGAGAGGGUGAUCGGCCACAUUGGAACUGAGACA